UGUGCUGAGGAGAGCCUUCAGGCGAGAAAGGGUCUUCAGGGACCGGUUGGACCCACUGGCCUUCCCUGAUGACCAUCUAUAUGAAAGAUACAGAUUUUCUGCAGAUGGCAUCAGGUAUCUAUGCAGACUACUGGGUCCCAGGAUUAAGCACCGCACUGCACGGAGCCAUGCACUGAGUGUGGAGCAAAUGGUUUGUGUGGCCUUGCGCUUUUUUGCUAGUGGAGCCUUCCUGUACUCAGUGGGGGAUGCAGAACAGCUGAACAAGGCCACAAUUUGCCGCACAAUAAGGAGUGUGUGUCUGGCUAUCAAAGCAUUAGCAGAUGUCUUCAUCUCCUUCCCUGGCCACAGAAGACUCUGUGACAUCAAAUAGGAGUUCUAUAGGAUUGCAGAUGGUCUGCAAUGCUGACUGUGUGAUCAGCAAUGUUGUGGCAAAAUGGCCUGGCUCAGUCCAUGACUCCAGAAUCUUUAGGGCCUCUGAAAUCUAUCAGUGCCUAUCACAAGGUGAAUUCUCUGGUGUGUUGCUGGGAGACAGGGGGUAUGGCUGCCAGCCUUUUCUCCUGACACCUUUCACAGACCCCCAGGAAGCACAACAGGCUACAACCAUGCCCAU